GUGUAAAAGUACAGGGGAGAACUCCUUGCACAAGAGGAAUACCGAGCGAGACAUAACACAAAAGCCCCAUUUCUGUUUGAUUUUGACUGGCAGGAUCGUCACUGGAGGUGGACUCCAUAAGGUCUUAGAGUUUCCAAUAGACUGUUUCAACAACACAAACACUGGGCCAAAACUCAACUUCCGGUAGACUUCUCAAAAGAAUAAAACCAUAACAAACAUAA